CUUCCUACGGGGGGCAGCAGUGAGGAAUAUUGGUCAAUGGGCGCGAGCCUGAACCAGCCAAGUAGCGUGAAGGAUGACUGCCCUACGGGUUGUAAACUUCUUUUAUAAAGGAAUAAAGUGAGGCACGUGUGCCUUUUUGUAUGUACUUUAUGAAUAAGGAUCGGCUAACUCCGUGCCAGCAGCCGCGGUAAUACGUAGGGGGCAAGCGUUAUCCGGAUUUACUGGGUGUAAAGGGAGCGUAGACGGCAACGCAAGCCAGAUGUGAAAUCCCCGCGCUCAACGUGGGAACUGCCUUUGAAACUGGC
rnacentral:rRNA from 1 species